AUAGUCUUUCUUCUUUGCCAGUGACUCGUAAAAUUUUAAUACGGAUGACACUUGGGGAAGGAACCAUCUUUUAUUUUUCCCCUCACUUUAUCCCAAUGCCUCUGCUGUAGUCCACACAGUGAUGUGUUCACAUCAAGGUUGCUGCAAACAGCUGGAAGCACCUGAAUUUCAGAAAGGACAUUCUGAGAAAACCAGUAUGAGCAGAGAUAAUGCUCCCCCUUGGGAAGGGGGGCAGGGAUGGGAGUGAAAGAGCCUUGAAAGAAUACCUGCCUUAAUCUGUGGUUGCUAGGAAUCACAGAAUAUUAUGAGCUGGAAGAGACCUACAAGGAUCAUCAAGUCCAACUCAUGAAUUAAUGGCCUGUACAGUCAUUUGGUGCUGUGAACACACUGCAGUUUUGCACAUCAGUCCUCCAGCACUUCUCUUAUCCAUGAGAACAUUCAGGGCUUAUUGAUGGCUUGUGUGAAAACAGGCUUUCGUUGGAGAAGAGGCAAAAAAGCAAUGCCACCAGCAGGCUCCUAACGUGACAUCACCUGUAAGAGAUGUAACAUAUCUGGGGGUUGGGUUGGUCUUUUUAUUUUCAGAAUCAGUAUGUCACAAACAUAAAUAAGAAAUAUUCCUUUGACCACUGAUGAUUUGACAUUACAACAAUAUGAGGGACUUGUAGAAGGCAAAUGGUUAGACUUGUGUAAUAAAUACAUUUUUGUUAAGCUCUAGGUGCUGGUUCCAAUAGUCUUUCUCCACAGAGGUGAUCCCUCCACAAGUGGAUGCUCAUGUGUAGUAUCAGUCUUUGACUUCAACAGGCUUGAGCUGUCCCUUUUAUUUAUUACCUGGUCAUUUUCCCCAAACCCAGCCAUCUCAUGUAUUUAUUGUGGGAAAUCAGCAGUAAACUUACCUUUACCUAAAGGCAGAUUAAGGAGAGCAGGCAAACAGGAAAGAGGAAUUGAAGGUUUGCUGCUGACAGACUGGUCAGGCAGUUCCCAAAGGCUGCUCAGAAAGGAGCAAGCCAGAGUGGUCAGCUGAGUGAGGUGACCCUCACUAUGCAGUUCAGCAGCAUGUCAGGCAUUGAGCUUACACUGAGGGUGUGGGCUUGAGAGUAGCAUGAUGGGCAGACACAUCCUACAGCAACAGGAAAGUGAGCCACAAACCAGGAGAGUUGUGUUUUCCCAUUAACCCAUAAAGAGCUAUGUUGCAGAGGCUUGGGAGCUAGGAAGGCAGGUGGAAAUGCCAGGAGCCCUGUGCUAGUUUCAUGUUUUGAUACCACAAAGAACAUGGGUUUUCUUUAGGGUCAGAGCUCAAGACUUGCUGUCACAGGGGGUGCAGACUCUGCCAGCUGAGCUAAAAUUCAUUGGCUUGGAUAGCCAAACUUGCUUUUUUCUUCACAGACAGCAGCUAACAGAGAGAAGCCGAACAUCUCUUUCUGCCACACUGAAUUUAAUGUCAAGGUCACCUGUGGUCAACAGGGGAUUCAAACAGAAUUUUUGGUGCGUGUCCCAUCAGCAAGGGUGUAUCCUAUAGAUACAGAGUGAGCUGCACCAGUGUCAGGUUUGGAUCUGAGUAAAGCUUCAGUGUAGUCUAAUUAAUGAAUAGGGCCUGGUAAGGUCACAGUCCAAAGCAGGGAUUUGGUUACAUAAAUUUCUAUGCUUUUGUUUUAAUAGGGAAUCUACACAAGAUUUGUUUGGUAUCUGAGCAACCAGUUUCUAAAGCAUCAGAAGUCUUUUGAUUCUGGAACAAAAGACUUCCGAAUACCCUCUCAGCUCUGUGUCCUUGGUUUGGUACAGCACAGUGCCACUUCCCAUGCAUGAACUGCAAAUGCUGAAAAGGUGAAUAGAUGCAGAUCCAGACUACCAGCUGGGACUUAUUACCUCCCAGAGUGAGUACUCAGUGCUGCUUAGCACCCUCUGAAAGGCACAGCAUUUGCUCAGCAGAGCUUUUCUAUCUGAGCUGGAGGUGGGCAGAGCCAAGCUCUGUGUCAGCUCUUCCCUCUUCUGUUUGGCUCUAGCUUGGAAAAUUACACCCUCACUGUCAGGGCUAGCAGAGUAAUUUGCUCCCCAUUUUUCCUCCCCCAUCAUUCAGCUGAAGUGGAAAGAGGAUGGGAACCCGUGAGAGUCGUGCUGUUAGAGCAGAGCAUUGUGGUUCUGUCUUUAGCCCCAUGGGGCUCAGCUAUGCAGUAGAAACACCUGCCUGACAACCCUGGGGCUGGUACCAGCAAAAAUGCUGUUUGCAGGUGCAGCAUGGACUACUGCAGGGCAAGGUCUGCUGCUAUCUGGCUUGUGUUGUGGGGGCCUGGGAGACUUGAGGAGUUAAAGACUGCUGUGGUGGCCAUGGCAGGGCAAUACUGAGCCAGAUAAGAAUAUUUGCAGAUAUUACUGAUAAGAAUGUUUGCUGAUGUUACUCUGGAAAAGCUUGACCUCAGAAGCUGGAAUUUAACUGCUCUAUAUCUCUCUGAACUGGCAAAAGGAGAUGUGCUGUGGGUUGGCUGUUCACCAUGUGGGCAGGGGCUCAGUACCACAGGCAUGUCUAAGCCUGUGUCUAAGCACAGCUGAUGCCAUGUGGUACCAAAGGGACUCAGCUUCUCACUGCAUUCAUGAUACAAGUGUUGAGGUGCUUGGCCCCAGUGUCUGCCUGCCCAUGCUGCCUUCCCAAAGCCCCAGGUACCGCCUUCUCUGGGCUUCCACAGGGGCUGGAUCUCAUGGAGGAGCUGGGGCUCAUCCAGUCUCUGGAACAGUGCAGGACAGCUUGGAUGCUCUUUGCCCAUUGCCAUGCUGGGAGUGUGCUUCCUGUGCAUCCUGAGAGCAGGGCUGGAAGUGCUGGAAGGGCUCCGUGGCAGACAAGAGUCUGGGGACAGGCUGUGCUGGAGGGAGGACUUUGUUGCUGACAGAAGGAGUGGAGGGUGGAGUGCCUCUCUCUGCACACCCAGUCUGGGGUGGCGACUCUCAGGAAGAAUUAUGGUCUCAUAGAGACCAGACUGACUGGAGCAAAGGAUUAUGAGGAUACACCUUGAGUCUUUCACCUAGAGCUUGAUACCACAGCCCUGGCUGAUGGGAUGGUAGCUUGCUGACCUGUCAUGAAGGUUGGGAGGAUGAUGGUGGAUGUGAAUUGCUUGUCUCUGGCCAGGAUGUUGUACAGAGCUCCAACACCUCACCUGAUGUUCUCCACAGUGAAGGCAGCCUGGUUGAUGGGUAUCUGGCAUUUCACUUUGAAGGAAAUUACCUGAUUUUAUCCUUCAGAAUAUUCUACCUGCUGAGUGACUCAGUGAGUGACUCACCUGCUCUGCUCUCCCAGCAGCUCUUAGCUCAGGGCUGUCUCAGAAGGUGUUUUUCUGUCGGGCAUUUGUGGUCUAACCACAGCCCUGAUGCUGCUGUUGGUGGGGAAAAUGAGGCAGCAGCCAAGCUGAGUCAAACCUUGGGCAUCUGAACGAGCAGGCAAACCCAAGGGAGUGCCACAUUCUUCCCACUGGCAUGAGAGUGUUUUUCCCAGAGCACUGAGAGCUCUGCCAUGGUUCUCUGACCCUCCAGUGCUUUCAGCAGUUUUCCUGGGCCCUUAAGGUCCCAGUCCUGCUCCUGCUGGGAGAGCCUGCAGAUGUGUUACCAGAAGUGAUGUGCCCCUCUCCUCACAGAAAAAGUGGACAAGGCAUUGUUCAGAUCACCUCCUUUACCAGUUGAGGAAUUUUAUCCAGCCUGCCUUUGGCCACAGCCCUGACAGGGCAUGACAUUAGCAAGGGACUGAAAUCAGUGUGAGAGUCUGCAUCCCUCUGUCUUGUCACUUGGAGUCACUAACCAUCAAGAGCUUUCCCUGUUGCAGGAGUGGGAGAGAGCAGGAGAGCACUAGCAGAUGGUUUUAGAGGAAAGCAUGUUCAGGAACUGAGCUCCUCAAGGGAUUUCAUUUUCUCUUACUGUGAGUUAGAAAUUACUUAUCCUUUUAGCCUUUGCUCUAAAAUGCUGUCUCAAACAUUGUCAGGAAAAUGACAUCACAUUAAAAAUAGGAGUGUGAUGCAGUAUGUGUUUAUUGCAAUUUACUUUCACUACUAAAAAGAAAAACCCCUAAUGAUUAUGAAAUAAAGCCUGAAUAUUAAGAACAUGAUGACAAAAAACACCCCUUACAUGAAAACAGUAAUUAGCACUGGGACUGGAACAAAGGAGCAGAGGGACGAUUUUGGGCACAGUUGCUUUGCUGGCUGAGAAAGAAGAUGGGGCUGCCCAGUCUCCCAAACAGAGUCAAGGUCUGUGGCCACUGCUGGGAGGAGAGCCCAUUUGCCCUCAGAGCCAUGAGACUGGGAGAGGAGCUGUGGCACUCACAGCACACC